UGGGGAAUCUUGCACAAUGGAGGCAACUCUGAUGCAGCGACGCCGCGUGAGCGAUGAAGGUAUUCGUAUCGUAAAGCUCUGUCCUAGGGGAAGAUAGUGACGGUACCCUAGAAGAAAGCCCCGGCUAACUACGUGCCAGCAGCCGCGGUAAUACGUAGGGGGCGAGCGUUGUCCGGAAUUAUUGGGCGUAAAGGGUUCGUAGGCGGUUAUAUAUGUCAGGUGUGAAAUCCAGCAGCUCAACUGUUGUAAGCAUCUGAAACUGUAUAACUUGAGUAGUGGAGAGGUGAGUGGAAUUCUUAGUGUAGCGGUGAAAUGCGUAGAUAUUAAGAGGAAUACCAGUAGCGAAGGCGACUCACUGGCCACUAACUGACGCUGAGGAACGAAAGCGUGGGUAGCAAACA
rnacentral:rRNA from 1 species